CAGGGGGAUAGCUUCCGGAAACGGGGAUUAAUACCGCAUACGAUUCAUUUGUGGCCUCACAAAUGGAUAAAAGCUACGGCGGUUUCAGAUGGCCAUGCGUACCAUUAGUUAGUUGGUGAGGUAAAGGCUCACCAAGGCGAUGAUGGUUAGGGGUCCUGAGAGGGUAGUCCCCCACACUGGUACUGAGACACGGACCAGACUCCUACGGGAGGCAGCAGUGAGGAAUAUUGGUCAAUGGGCGCUAGCCUGAACCAGCCAUGCCGCGUGCAGGAAGACGGCCCUACGGGUUGUAAACUGCUUUUCUGCAGGAAGAAUAUAUAGUCUUAGGGGUAUAUUGACGGUACUGCAGGAAUAAGCAUCGGCUAACUCCGUGCCAGCAGCCGCGGUAAUACGGAGGAUGCAAGCGUUAUCCGGAUUCAUUGGGUUUAAAGGGUGCGCAGGCUGUAAAGCAAGUCAGUGGUGAAAGCCCUGGGCUUAACUCAGGGAUUGCCAUUGAAACUGUUUUACUAGAGUGUAGUAGAGGACGGCGGAAUGAGUUGUGUAGCGGUGAAAUGCAUAGAUAUAACUCAGAACACCUAUUGCGUAGGCAGCUGUCUAUACUACAACUGACGCUGAGGCACGAAAGCGUGGGGAGCGAACAGGAUUAGAUACCCUGGUAGUCCACGCUGUAAACGAUGAUCACUCGUUGUUGGCUACUUAGUAGUCAGUGACCAAGGGAAACCGAUAAGUGAUCCACCUGGGGAGUACGUCGGCAACGAUGAAACUCAAAGGAAUUGGCGGGGGCCCGCACAAGCGGAGGAACAUGUGGUUUAAUUCGAUGAUACGCGAGGAACCUUACCUGGGCUUAAAUGCUGGCUGCAUUGGAGGGAAACCUUCAUUUCCUACGGGACCGCCAGCAAGGUGCUGCAUGGUUGUCGUCAGCUCGUGCCGUGAGGUGUCGGGUUAAGUCCCAUAACGAGCGCAACCCCUAUCGCUAGUUGCCAGCAUGUAAUGGUGGGGACUCUAGCGAGACUGCCGGUGUAAACCGGAGGAAGGUGGGGAUGACGUCAAAUCAGCACGGCCCUUACGUCCAGGGCUACACACGUGUUACAAUGGCCGGUACAAAGAGCAGCCACCUGGCGACAG
rnacentral:rRNA from 1 species